rnacentral:rRNA from 1 species
AUGAACGCUGGCGGCGUGCCUAAUACAUGCCAGUCGCGCGAACAGACGAGGAGCUUGCUCCUCUGACGUUAGCGGCGGACGGGUGAGUAACACGUGGAUAACCUACCUAUAAGACUGGUAUAACUUCGGGAAACCGGAGCUAAUACCGGAUAAUAUAUUGAACCGCAUGGUUCAAUAGUGAAAGACGGUUUUGCUGUCACUUAUAGAUGGAUCCGCGCCGCAUUAGCUAGUUGGUAAGGUAACGGCUUACCAAGGCAACGAUGCGUAGCCGACCUGAGAGGGUGAUCGGCCACACUGGAACUGAGACACGGUCCAGACUCCUACGGGAGGCAGCAGUAGGGAAUCUUCCGCAAAGGGCGAAAGCUUGACGGAGCAACGCCGCGUGAGUGAUGAAGGUCUUCGGAUCGUAAAACUCUGUUAUUAGGGAAGAACAAAUGUGUAAGUAACUAUGCACGUCUUGACGGUACCUAAUCAGAAAGCCACGGCUAACUACGUG